UACGAAGGGGGCUAGCGUUGCUCGGAUUGACUGGGCGUAAAGGGCGCGUAGGCGGUUCGUACAGUCAGACGUGAAAUUCCUGGGCUCAACCUGGGGGCUGCGUUUGAUACGUGCGGACUUGAGUGCGGAAGAGGGUCGUGGAAUUCCCAGUGUAGAGGUGAAAUUCGUAGAUAUUGGGAAGAACACCGGUGGCGAAGGCGGCGACCUGGUCCGUGACUGACGCUGAGGCGCGAAAGCGUGGGGAGCAAACGGG
rnacentral:rRNA from 1 species